UACGGAGGGUGCAAGCGUUAUCCGGAUUUACUGGGUUUAAAGGGUGCGUAGGCGGUCUUAUAAGUCAGUGCUGAAAUAUCCCGGCUUAACCGGGAGGGUGGCAUUGAUACUGUAGGACUUGAGUAUAGUCGAGGUAGGCGGAAUUGACGGUGUAGCGGUGAAAUGCUUAGAUAUCGUCAAGAACACCGAUAGUGUAGACAGUUUACUAGGCUAUAACUGACGCUGAGGCACGAAAGUGUGGGGAUCAAACAGG
rnacentral:rRNA from 1 species